rnacentral:rRNA from 1 species
GAUGAACGCUGGCGGCGUGCCUAAUACAUGCAAGUCGAGCGAAUGGAUUAAGAGCUUGCUCUUAUGAAGUUAGCGGCGGACGGGUGAGUAACACGUGGGUAACCUGCCCAUAAGACUAGGAUAACUCCGGGAAACCGGGGCUAAUACCGGAUAACAUUUUGAACCGCAUGGUUCGAAAUUGAAAGGCGGCUUCGGCUGUCACUUAUGGAUGGACCCGCGUCGCAUUAGCUAGUUGGUGAGGUAACGGCUCACCAAGGCAACGGUGCGUAGCCGACCUAAGAGGGUGAUCGGCCACACUGGGACUGAGACACGGCCCAGACUCCUACGGGAGGCAGCAGUAGGGAAUCUUCCGCAAUGGACGAAAGUCUGACGGAGCAACGCCGCGUGAGUGAUGAAGGCUUUCGGGUCGUAAAACUCUGUUGUUAGGGAAGAACAAGUGCUAGUUGAAUAAGCUGGCACCUUGACGGUACCUAGCCAGAAAGCCACGGCUAACUACGUGCCAGCAGCCGCGGUAA